rnacentral:misc_RNA from 1 species
UACAGAGGGUGCGAGCGUUAAUCGGAUUUACUGGGCGUAAAGCGUGCGUAGGCGGCUUUUUAAGUCGGAUGUGAAAUCCCCGAGCUUAACUUGGGAAUUGCAUUCGAUACUGGCAAGCUAGAGUAUGGCAGAGGGUGGUGGAAUUUCCUGUGUAGCGGUGAAAUGCGUAGAUAUAGGGAGGAAUACCAGUGGCGAAGGCGGCCUUCUGGACUGACACUGACGCUGAGGUGCGAAAGCGUGGGUAGCAAACAGG